rnacentral:misc_RNA from 1 species
AACCUGCAACAGCAGAACAACCAGCGAACUUGUAAAAAUAGAUUGAGGUGCCUAGUGUACCUCAAUGCUUGGACGUGCUUGUAAUGGGCACGAUCUCAGCACAAUAACGAACCCCGGCACAAGUUGUGCCAAGGAAAAUUUAUGAAGACAGAGUCCCUUGCUGCCUCGUUCUGCGGGUGUUUGCUUGGGGUAAAGCUUCUAACACAAAACACGACUCUCGGCAACGGAUAUCUCGGCUCUCGCAUCGAUGAAGAACGUAGCGAAAUGCGAUACUUGGUGUGAAUUGCAGAAUCCCGUGAACCAUCGAGUCUUUGAACGCAAGUUGCGCUUGAAGCCAUUAGGCUGAAGGCACGUCUGCCUGGGCGUCUCGCAACACGUCGCCCCCAACCCUUUGCCUCUCUAUGAGUGGCAGAUGUUGGGGGCAGAUGAUGGCCUCCUGUGUGCAAAUGUACAAAGUUGGUCUAAAAGCAAAAGUUCUUGACAAUGGAUCGUCACAGCACGUGGUGGUUGAACAAACUUGUCGCGUUUUGUUGUUGGCGCACCUAUUGUUGGGCAAAGCUACGACCCUUGCGCGUCAUUUUUCUAAUGGCGCAUCGACAGCGACCCCAGGUCA